GACGUAGGGCGCGAGCGUUGUCCGGAUUUAUUGGGCGUAAAGAGCUCGUAGGCGGCUUGUCGCGUCGUUCGUGAAAACCUGCAGCUCAACUGCAGGCUUGCGGUCGAUACGGGCAGGCUAGAGUUCGGUAGGGGAGACUGGAAUUCCUGGUGUAGCGGUGAAAUGCGCAGAUAUCAGGAAGAACACCCGUGGCUAAGGCGGUUCUCUAGUACGGUACUGACGCUGAGACGCGAAAGCGUGGGGAGCGAACAGG
rnacentral:rRNA from 1 species